rnacentral:rRNA from 1 species
UGGGGAAUAUUGCACAAUGGGCGCAAGCCUGAUGCAGCCAUGCCGCGUGUGUGAAGAAGGCCUUCGGGUUGUAAAGCACUUUCAGCGAGGAGGAAGGUGGUGAGCUUAAUACGCUCAUCAAUUGACGUUACUCGCAGAAGAAGCACCGGCUAACUCCGUGCCAGCAGCCGCGGUAAUACGGAGGGUGCAAGCGUUAAUCGGAAUUACUGGGCGUAAAGCGCACGCAGGCGGUUUGUUAAGUCAGAUGUGAAAUCCCCGGGCUCAACCUGGGAACUGCAUUUGAAACUGGCAAGCUAGAGUCUCGUAGAGGGGGGUAGAAUUCCAGGUGUAGCGGUGAAAUGCGUAGAGAUCUGGAGGAAUACCGGUGGCGAAGGCGGCCCCCUGGACGAAGACUGACGCUCAGGUGCGAAAGCGUGGGGCAGCAAACAGGAUUAGAUACCCUGGUAGUCCACGCUGUAAACGAUGUCGAUUUUGGAGGUUGUGCCCUUGAGGCGUGGCUUCCGGAGCUAACGCGUUAAAUCGACCG